GCAAAAGUAGUUUAACGGGUAAAACACAAUCUUGCCAAGAUUACAAUUGAGGGUUCGAGUCCCUUCUUUUGCU
rnacentral:tRNA from 1 species